AUGUAGAGAUUCUCACUAAUAUCGGACCAAAUGAUCGUCUGCUUCUGGAGGCAUAUCUCUUUCCUAUUGGUUUGGAAUUUCUGGAGCUGAUUUAUUCUGAUGGAGAUUCAACCGCUACUGUACGAACCAAAAAACCUCUGGACGCUGAUGAACUAAAGGAGCAUGGAGAGAAAUUAUAUUAUUCAGUCACCUGCUCAGGAGGGCUAAAAAACAUCCGGACAGUAGACGUUCUGGACGUCAAUAACAACCCUCCGAUCUUCCAGAGCAAGUCAUACAGCGCCACAGUG